UCUUUUUCGGUGUUCGGCACAGGAAAAUUUGAGUUUCCAGGAAGAUAUUCUAAAAAGAG
rnacentral:tRNA from 1 species